rnacentral:rRNA from 1 species
AAGCAACGCGCAGAACCUUACCUGGGUUUGACAUCCUCUGAACAUUCUAGAGAUAGAGUGGUGCCUUCGGGAAUAGAGUGACAGGUGCUGCAUGGCUGUCGUCAGCUCGUGUCGUGAGAUGUUGGGUUAAGUCCCGCAACGAGCGCAACCCUUAUCCUUAGUUACCAGCGAUUCGGUCGGGGACUCUAAGGAGACUGCCGGUGUGAAACCGGAGGAAGGUGGGGAUGACGUCAAGUCCUCAUGGCCCUUAUGCCUUGGGCUACACACGUGCUACAAUGGUUAAGCCAAAGAGUUGCGAGCUCGCGAGAGUCAGCUAAUCUCAUAAACUUAGCCUAAGUUCGGAUUGUAGGCUGCAACUCGACUGCAUGAAGUCGGAAUCGCUAGUAAUCGCUGGUCAGCCAUACAGCGGUGAAUCCGUUCCCGGGCCUUGUACACACCGCCCGUCACA